rnacentral:rRNA from 1 species
UACGAAGGGGGCUAGCGUUGCUCGGAAUCACUGGGCGUAAAGCGCACGUAGGCGGCUUUCUAAGUCAGGGGUGAAAUCCUGGAGCUCAACUCCAGAACUGCCUUUGAUACUGGAGAGCUCGAGUCCGGAAGAGGUGAGUGGAACUGCGAGUGUAGAGGUGAAAUUCGUAGAUAUUCGCAAGAACACCAGUGGCGAAGGCGGCUCACUGGUCCGGUACUGACGCUGAGGUGCGAAAGCGCGGGGAGCAAACAGGAU